rfam:Virgibacillus sp. SK37, complete genome.
UAUAGGGGUUGGAAGGCUAAAGUCGCGACGUCCUGUCGCAACGCCUUCAUGACCAACAUCGUGUUGG